rnacentral:lncRNA from 1 species
AUCUUAAAAAUUAGGAGUGUUUGUAGUUGAGACAUGCAGGAUGAGUCACCAAACAGCUGAAAAGUUUGCGAUGAAUUACCUGCCCUAUAUCAAAUAAGUCCUUGUAUUUUUUGAUCACACCUUUUAUUAUCCCAGCAAAAAUAAUAAAAUAGGAAAUGAAGAAAUUGACAUCAGAAAUACAAAAAGAAAUUAAAAACAAGACUUGAGCAUAAAUGGGACAUAGCAAAGGAAACUUAGGCAUCAUGCUCACACAAAGAUUUUAUGAGACAGAUCUUUCCAUAAAUUGGGGACAACUAUGCAUUGUUAAUCAUGUCACAAAUGCUGAGGACUUAAAACUAGUAGAAGCCUUUGAAAUAUAUAAUUGGAAAAACAAAGUGUAUGUUAUAAAUGAAGUGACACUAGAAGUUAUAUAUCUACUUUUGAUCUGGUGAAUGAAAAUCAAUGAAAUUGUAUUCUCA